rnacentral:rRNA from 1 species
UACGUAGGGGGCGAGCGUUGUCCGGAUUUAUUGGGCGUAAAACGCUUGUAGGCGGCCACGCCAAGUCGGAUGUGAAAUCUCCCGGCUUAACUGGGAGGGGUCAUCCGAUACUGGCGGGCUCGAGGCAGGUAGGGGGAAGCGGAAUUCCCGGUGUAGUGGUGGAAUGCGUAGAUAUCGGGAGGAGCACCAGUGGCGAAGGCGACUUCCUGGCCUGUUCUUGACGCUGAGGCGCGAAAGCUAGGGGAGCAAACGGG